rnacentral:lncRNA from 1 species
GUUUACGAACAGAGAUUUCUGUUAGGGAAUUCUGUUGACCGAGGGGAAGGUGUUAGGUACCCCUCAAUCCCGUGGUUUGACCACGGUCGCUUUGUGGAGUAUAUCGACUGGUACGACACUAUGAAUGUCUAAACCACAUAAAAUACACAAAAAAAUCAAUCAAACAAACAAACAAGUUCAAAAAUAUAAUGUCCCGUCCAAAUUAAACAGUCCCAAAAAUAGAAAAAUGCGGAAAAGUAAAUCCUAUUCUAAACUAAUCCUAGACUAAGCUCCAAUGCUUUACCCGAUGCCUCGGGCCUUCAUCACAAACCUCCUUUGCGUACAUGAGAUGUCGGGGCAUUCCUUGGUGAAUAAAUACAAUGUGACCUCAGGACAUUCCCCGGCGAAUGAAUACAUUUGAUGAAAUGUAAUAAAAGUAGAUGCCUCAUUCAACACAGACAUUCACACAUUCAAUGAUAUAGAAUACUAUGAGUUGACUACCCCAAAACCUAAAAUUUGGCUAUCAUGCUUUCGUCCUAAAACAUGAUCCUACUGAGCUCACAAAAUUGAUAUUUAUUUCGCAUUAAACAAAACAAUAAUAAAUCAAAAUUAAUCCAAAUUCACUUUUUCAUCAAGUUUUUGAUUUCCACCCCGAUUUUGUUAUCCAAUUACCAAUUUCAAUUAUCCAAUAAAAUAUUAUUUUCAUCUAUUGUACCAUUCAAGAUCAAUCAUUCAACUCAAACUCAUGUCAAGCAACAAAUCACCCCUAAAUAGAACAAACACAUCAAAAUACCUCCAUAAUCAUAUAAAAUUAAAGGAAUAGAGUUGAAGAUUGGACCUCAAUUUGAUGAUUUAUUUUCAAUUAAAUAUGGAGGAGCCUUUCAGAUUCAGAACCUUGAAUCAAACCUCAACAGUCAACAAACGAGACCGCAACUCGAAGAAAACACAAAACCAAUAAGAAACUUCCAAACGAAACCCAAUUUGCUGAUUUCAAACUAGGCUUAAAUGGCUUGUUGGAAUCAGGGCCGGAUUAUCGUUUCCAUCAUAUCAGAGCUGCGGCGGACCAGACAGUCCAUGAAAUAGGUCUUUCGCUGGAGAAAGACCGCAAAAAAGGGAAUAGCAAUUUUUGGGGUUGUGAAUGACCCAUUUCCGUAAGGGUAUUCCGAUUCUGGAAAAACAAACUUACCAGAAAAUAGUUGAAUCUGCCUAUUUUUUGUCACCCAAACCACUCACCUUUCUCUCUCUUAGUCUAUAUCUUCCUUCGGCUUCUCUGUAUGUGCGUAUGUGCGAUGGCAGUGUGUGUACGAGUUUGUUCGUGGAUGAAUCUGUGAGGAUGAGUGAUUCCCAUUGGAGAUGAGUUUAUGAGUGUGUGUAUUUAUGUGUGUGAAUUGAGUGUGUUUUGUGAAUUCUCGAUGGAGGAUGUUGUAUGAGUGCAUGUGUGUGAUGAAUUGUGAAGGGAAUCUGUGUUGUUGUUAUCUGAGUGAGUCUCGAUGGUGGUGAUAGAGUUUACAUUUUAAUGGUGUGUGUAUAUGUAUAUAAUACGUGUGAAUUCCGUUUAAUGGGAAAGAAAAUUUGCCUUUGAUUGAGGGGCGAGGUAGGGGUAUGUGGGUAAGAGGU